GACGUAGGGUGCAAGCGUUGUCCGGAUUUAUUGGGCGUAAAGAGCUCGUAGGCGGCUUGUUGCGUCGACUGUGAAAACCCGCGGCUUAACCGCGGGCUUGCAGUUGAUACGGGCAGGCUAGAGUUCGGUAGGGGAGACUGGAAUUCCUGGUGUAGCGGUGAAAUGCGCAGAUAUCAGGAGGAACACCGGUGGCGAAGGCGGGUCUCUGGGCCGAAACUGACGCUGAGGAGCGAAAGCGUGGGGAGCAAACAGG
rnacentral:rRNA from 1 species